UGUUCUCGGGGCAGAAGCUAUUUGCUUGGCUUUACAUCCAUCCCAGGGUAUCAUUUCUAAUACAUCUGUUGGACAAGCUCGUACACAUUGAGUGCAUCAUAUACAUGUAUCGUAAAUUUUUACGGAAUGUGACAUUGGAUCUAUAAAUUUUUCUUUUCAACAUAAAAAUUUUCUAUCUGGUAAAAAUAAAAUUAGUAUUAUAUGAGUAAUAUGUAUUGUAGACACCAGACGAAGCAAUGGUUUAUCCAAACUUCAAAAUAUAUAUAUAUAUAUAUAUAGAGACACGGCAACGGCGAGCGGCCGAGCGGCGGCGAGCGGCUGAGAGGCUACGGAGACCUCUGUGGUUAGGGAGUGAGGGCUAGCCUGUGCGCUCUCGGUGGCCUCGACGGCGUCGUGGUCGCAUCCUCGAAUCGGCGGCGUCAUGGCCGGCCGGUUGAAUCGACCUCGGCCACCUCCUGCUCUUUCUCUGGAUCCCCUCCGUCGACAACCUUCUGCGUUGUCGCUAGCGCCCCUCCGCUGCCAAGCCCAACACUGCCUGAGGCCAAGUCAUGCCCUCCUGGGUUGUGGUCGAACGUGCUCAACUGAAAUUCGACGGGCGUCCUGCCCUGGCUGCCCCCAACGCCUGUGAACUGGGCAUCUACCCCCUUGCAAUUUUACGUCAGCUUGCAGAUUGGGCACUGGCUAAAUGUUAAUUUCAUUGUGAAUCGAGACGCGGCGGCGAGCUGGUACGCGUCCCCCUGCGAGCGGGUGAGUGGCGACGAGCAGCGCACUCUUGGGUGAGCGACGUGUUGCAGGCGGGCUGCGGCCGCGGGCGGCGAUGUAGGCGGCAUUACCGGGUCGUGGGUCCGGCGGCAUCGGCGUCGUGGGCCAGCAGCGCAGCUGAUCGUGGUUGCUGCCGGCUUCGGCAUCGCGGUGAGCGGUACUGCCGGCGGCAUCUGAAUCGUGAUAAGCGGCGAGCGUUCUCAGCUUUGUUGUUUGCCGUUUCACUGCGGCAGUGCACGUCAGUGGUCUUCCACGGAAGAAUGGAUGAUUUGGAUCGGUCCAGGGAGAAGCAGGCUCUAAAUCACUUGCUUAUAAAGAGCUAGUAACUUCGGUUGCAUUGUUUACACCUGAAACGUACACUAUUUAGGCGUAUGAUUCUUAAUUGUCUAUGUGCUCCAUUUAGUUAUGCAUAACUUUUUAAUAUACUUAUCUAUUAAUAUUGUUUUCCGUUACCAUUUUUUUGGGGAUGCUUAUCACUACUAGGAAAAGGCUUAUUGCCGGCGCACCAAAAAGCACUACUGCCGGCGCACCAGCGCCCGCCGGUGCGAACGGGCCGGUGGUAAAGGCUUAUUGCCGGCGCACCAUCUUGUUCGCCGGCGGUAACUCGAUUUAUCACCGGCGCACCAGCCUAGUGCGCCGGCGGUAUGUUUUCCAGGAUUCAAAAAAAAGCAGAUCUAG